UACGUAGGGGGCUAGCGUUGUCCGGAAUCAUUGGGCGUAAAGCGCGUGUAGGCGGUCCGGUAAGUCCGCUGUGAAAGUCGAGGGCUCAACCCUCGAAUGCCGGUGGAUACUGUCGGGCUUGAGUACGGGAGAGGCGAGUGGAAUUCCUGGUGUAGCGGUGAAAUGCGCGAUAUCAGGAGGAACACCGGUGGCGAAGGCGGGUCUCUGGGACGUCACUGACGCUGAGGAGCGAAAGCGUGGGUAGCAAACAGG
rnacentral:rRNA from 1 species